GAUGAACGCUAGCGGCAGGCUUAACACAUGCAAGUCGAGGGGCAUCGUGGUGUAGCAAUACACUGGCGGCGACCGGCGAAAGGGUGAGUAACGCGUGAGCAACAUGCCCGUAAGUGGAGGAUAGUCGAUGGAAACGUCGCGUAAUACUCCGUAACAACAGGGGUCGCAUGGCUUUUGUUUAAUAGAUUUAUCGCUUACGGAUUGGCUCGCGUCCCAUUAGGCAGUUGGCGGGGUAACGGCCCACCAAACCGACGAUGGGUAGGGGUUCUGAGAGGAAGGUCCCCCACAUUGGAACUGAGACACGGUCCAGACUCC
rnacentral:rRNA from 1 species